rnacentral:lncRNA from 1 species
CCAUACAGACAACAUGAAUCAACAGCAGUGCCACCGUUACAACAAUACUACUGAUACGAAGGCGCUUUUCAAAAGUUACCCGAACUCAAGAAGCCCGUGAUAGAUCAACAGCAGUGCCACCAUUUUAGCUGUCAUGGAAUGGACCGACCUUAGAAGAGACUGCAGACACAUAUCAGGAUUCAGGAGGAGGGAGGGAUAAAGCCCGUUAGAGAAGAAAGUACAAAAUACUCGACGUGACUCUUUUUUUUUUUUUUUUUUUUUUGUAUAUAUGACUCAUAGUCAUAUAUUAUCCUGUUAAGUUCAAAAGAGUCAUGAGACUUCAGUCAAAGUCACUGAUGCCGCCGUUUUGGGUGGAAGAAAUUUUCAGGCAACGAGCGAGUCAUAAGAGUCGGAGGAGCCUCCGACGGGUUGCUCGGGUGAUCGUGUAGUCCUCGUUAAGGUGAGACAGCCUGUGUUCGAUCUCGAGCUCAGCAAUCCGAUGCAAUUUCCUGAUGAGGAUCGGUAGAGCCCGUUCUCCUCGGAGUUGGAGACUAAUCAGAUAUAGGCUCGGACACCCCCAACAAGAUCAUAAGAUUCGGAGCACCUCCGCAAUCUGUCAGCUGAGGAUAAUACUAUAUAUAUAUAUUUUUUUUUUUAAAUUAUUGGAGUAGCGUACAUAUGGAUAUGGGUAAGAAUGAAUGAUCCCGCGAUUCGCGUCGAAACAGGUGCUAAGAGCCCACCAAAAAAAAAUAAAAAGGGAAACAAAUGGAACAAGCACACCAUUUUCUUUUAACCCGGAGUUUGGGUGAUAUAGCUGCAGAUAUCAUCAUCCACCACGACAAGGCAUCUCAAUUUGACUGCGACUACUUUUGAAAUUAUCAAUUCCGAUUGUAUGAAAUUAACACAACUGAUUUACACAUGAAAACAAUCACGCGUAAAAAUACAAUAUAUUCUGAUACUCUUUUUUUUUUUUUUUUAAAAAUACGUGUCUCACUCUCAAUCUCAUCCACUCAAUUCUAAGUCAAACUUGUAAUUGUUGAAGUCCUCCAAAACCAUUUGAAUCAUUUUACGUACUAAAAAAAUAAAUUGCUUAACACGAACAAUCUCUUGAUAAAUUAACCCAAAAAAAAAAGGGAGAGAGAGAGAGAGAGAGAAAUCUUUCCCGGGCAUCAGUUUUUUUUUUUGGUGUUCCCCUUCCCAGCACCCGUUAACGUACAGAAAUUGAUAAAAUCAUUGAGCAAAAAUAUAAAAUAGGUGGGUGGUCCCAAGACUUGUUUCCUCAAAUGAAAGGGACAAAAAGAGCAAAAGUCUUACUUUGAACUUACUUGGACUCCUUAAUAAUCAAUACAGAAAUUUCUUGGCCUUCGCAUGCUGCGCCGUUGAAAUUAGUGGAAGGUCUGAAUUUCGAUGGAGUUGAACUGGUCCAAACUUUUCUGCAGUCUUCAUAUUGUAUGUCUAUUACUACAUCCAAAUUAAUAAGAAAACUGUUAGUACCUUUGCAUGCUACAUCUAAAUUUCGUCAAUAAUAAUAAUCCCUUCACAAAUACUAGUGCAUACUCUCUUGGAAUUGGAAUGACAACAAUCUUAUCUGCAUUCUUAAAAUUCAAAACUACGUCAGUAUUUGUCUGUAAGCCAAUGGCUGCAGGGUUUAAUUCUACAGGAACUGGACCGAAUAUAUGUAUGAUAUCCGAGUGAUAUCUAUGAGCCUAAUUUCAAAUCAUGUUGCUUCCAUCCACUUAAAACCUCAUGUGCAUGGAUGCCCAUAUGCAAAGAUGUACCAAGUAGUCAUUCGUCAUACAUCAUCGCAUAAACAAUUACAUACGCUAGAGAGAGAGAGAGAGAGAGAGAGAGAGAGGUCUUCCCUCCCUCUUCCUUUAUUGUCAAGGUCUAGGGUUCCAUUUCCCAUUUGUUGUACGUAGUAGCAACUGUAACUCGCAUUUCUUGAGGCCCCCCUUACAUGGAAGACUCAUGCUAAGAAAGUCUUUUGGAUCUCUCAUUUUUCAAAGAGAACUGUCUCCUGCUCCGUAACCCUCAGGCAAGAACGAGACGGAAUUAAGGGGUAUAAGAGAUACAGCAAAGGUUUCUCUUCAGCUAGGUAGAAGGGAAGGCGCGCCCGCGCACACACAUGCCCUAAUCACGUUAAUUAGCUGUCGGAUUUCAUCAGUCGUGGUGGCUUCUUUUGUAAAUAAUGAUGACCCAUUAAACCUGAUACAGAAAAAGGCCAUUCGAAGUACCAUAAGAUAGAUGGAGGGAAGUGAGGACACCGAGUGCUCCAAGGCAUGCCCUUCUUCUGGGAAAGAUGAGGUGGACGAGAACGACGGUGAUAAACAGAAAGACGGAGGAAGCUCAAGCAACAGCACAGUUGAAGAGAAUGAGAACAAGCCCUCUGUGAGGCCUUAUGUCCGAUCCAAGAUGCCUAGACUCCGUUGGACACCUGAUCUUCAUCUCCGCUUCGUUCAUGCAGUGGAGAGACUUGGUGGACAAGAGAGUAAGCUGUCUUUCUAAUUCCUGUCCUCGUCAACUCACCUCGACUUGUAAACAAAUUAUACCAUUGAAAUCUGUUAAAGGAGAUGGUAUUAAUUAUUCCUUUUGGUGCAGGAGCGACACCUAAAUUAGUUCUUCAAUUGAUGAAUAUUAAAGGGCUAAACAUUGCUCAUGUCAAGAGUCAUUUGCAGGUAAUUCAAGGGUCUCUCUCAAUCAUUGCGUUACAGAUCGUAUGGUCUUCGACUGAUUAUAUUCUCCUCUUUUUUUUUUCCUCCUUUUGUGGUUCUAAUGGUUGUAUCCAAUAGAUGUAUAGAAGCAAGAAGAUCGAUGACCCCAGUCAAGGUAUAUAUGCUAUUUCUGGCUCUCUGUCUGCUUUUUCCCCACUUCUCCCUCAGUGUCCCUACUUUUUGAAGGGUUUCCCGUUACUGGUUGAACAAUACCAUUUCAGAAGGCAUCUUAUAAAUGCAAAAAGCCCUUUCUUGGUACAGGGGUAACAGAUCAUAGCCAUCUUUGGGAAGGUGUGGAUCGAAAUAUUUUCAACUUGGGCCAAAUUCCCAUGCUUCCAGGUCUUCAUCAAAACCAGAAGUCCACCUUCAGGUAUACAGAUUCAGCUUUCAACAGAAAAUUUAUGUGAUCAAAUAAGAGCAAAAAAGUAAAGGGAAUUCCUUCAAAUGCCCUAUGUGGAGGCCAAUUGUGUAUUUGUUCGCCUCGGCACCGUCUUAGGUUAGGGCCGUGGUAGUGCUUGGAGGGAGGCCUCCCCAGGAUCGAUCCCUGGUCCUUUAGGAUAAAGGGUCUUGGGGAUGUUUCCUGGUACCACUUGAGCUACUAGCUCAAGACCCUCUAAAGGACCAGGGACCAGGGAUCGAAUUCUAGGGAGGCCCCCCUCCAAGCACUACCACGACCCUAACCUAAGACGGUGCCGAGGCGAACAAAUACACAAUUGGCCUCCACACCCUACAACAUCUGUAUGUGAACAUAUAUCUUACUAUUAGUCAAGCUUGGGAGUUUGGGUGGUAGUUUUUGGUUCUGGUGUCUAAUCUCACAUCUUGGAAUGUGUCCGUUGGAUUUAAGGUACGGAGAUGCGUCUUGGAAUGGCCUAGAGAAUUCGAUGCAAAUGUCCGCGAUGAGACAGAGUACUAACAAGAAGAGGCCAGGGUUUUAUGACACAUGGCCUGGAAGGAUCGUUGGCUCAAGGAAUAAUGAUGUUUAUUCCGGGUUCCGGAAUUCAAAUCAACUAUGGUCUUGGCAAACUCAUGAAUUAGAAUCCAAAAUGCAAUCACUUCCCCAACAAGAAUACUGGCAAGAUCAGUUAAAAUCCUCAAUUCAGGUGCAAUUAAAAGUUCAAGACUUCAGCUCAUGCAGAAGUAAUAUUCCGGGCGUAGGCAGAAGUAUGAUUCAGAAAAAGCGAGCAGGAGUGAAGAGGAAGGCAACAGAUUGCAACAUCCACUUGAAUCUAUCCCUUGGUCUAGGGCCGAUUGGCGAUGGCCACCAGGACAGUUUGGAGGAUGAUGACGGCCAUUUAUCAUUGUCGUUGUGCUCACCAUCUUCCUCCAAGAUUACAAGGUUGAUAGAUGAUGCUAGUAAAGAGAAUGCAAGUGGCGCAAGUACUCUGGAUCUGACUCUAUGAAUGACACAUUCUAAGUGAGAUCUUGAGGUACUUGCUGCAUGGAAGGCGCCCGCUGAAUACCUCGUAACGUGUUACAUAUAAGGUAACAGCCAGCAUAACUUUUCCAUGCUUCUUUGUUGAUGUUACAGUAACAGUACGUUGCAAGUUAGCUAGUACAGUCUAGCGUUCCACUUAUAUCAUUAAUCAUAUUACUUCGGACAGAGUUUAACUUUAGUUGAUUUAAUGUCCUACUAGAGAAAAGGAGAGAGCAACUUCUUCGGGAAAUGAUACAUUCACAACAUUCCGUUCAAAUUAAAUCCACAUUCUGAACAAGUCUCGAUGUUAUUCGUGAGAGGUAUUUAAAAGGGUGCCAACACGAGUAAAUUUAAUUGAAAAUAAUGGGCCAGCUUUCAUAAAAUAUUGUGUAUUUAAAUCUCACUGUCAACGUGAGAACUGUGUUAAUUUAUCUUUAUAAACCAUCUAUGGUUUUAAACCCAUAUCCUAACCUGUAGAGGUGGCUAAAGUCGAAUCGGUCCAAAUUUUUUACUGCCAAAAAAAAAUUUAAAUGCCAGAAAGGAAGUUCAUUUUGGAUGAAAAUUCUAGGAAGGCCAAAUGUUUACACAGCUAAUAUUAGUGUAAUGCAGGCAGCCACGUUUAGAAUUCUGGCAGUUUACCCAGGCAGUAGGGAAGAAAAUUGACCAUCCAAUGUCUAGGAUUUUUUUCCAACUUGGACGAUUGAAAUGACCCAAAUCUGGCUGUGUGCCGUGCCAGUAUAUAUGCGAUGACUUGGGCACAUAUUAGUCAGGAAAGAUAAUAUGCUUAGAUAAGUAGAUGCUAGUAGUUAUUUGGGCAUUGUUGAUGACUUGGGCACAUAUUAGGCAAGAAAGAUAAAUGUACUCAGAUAAGUAGAUGCUUGUAGUUAUUUGGGCAUUGUAGAGAAGAAACUAAGAAGAAAAUUUUCACCCUUCGUACGUCAAUAAUUCAUCAAACCACAUAUUUAGCAGGAGAAUGAACCUCCACUGUAUAUUAGAAUGAACCUCCACUGUAUAUUAGACCUGCUCCCGUUAUAUCAUAUCUGUCAGGACUACUCUUCCUUGAGGUUUUCAAUAGUAUAAUUGAAUGAUAAUUCUUUCGUGUGACAAGUGACCAAUAUGAUGUAUCCAAGUCCUCAACCACUUUUUGGACUAUUUUAAGCUUUUACCUCGGUAGAGAGUGACACCAUGCAUUGUGAUAUCCGUAACCGAAACAAGUAGAGAUAUGCAGUAUAGCUAUGUAAGAGCAAUUCAUUUAUUAUUGUGUUAGAACCCAAAAAAAAAAAAAGAAAGAAAACUUAUUAUUGCGGGUAGAGACUAGAGAGAGAUAAUGGAAACAGGAAUACCGGAUCUUCAGCAAGAUCAUGGACCGCUGUGAGCCUGAGGGGGACGGCAGAGAUGAUUUUCCUAACACAAGCAUAGGAAUGAACCACCUUGGCAAACCCUAACAGAGGUUACCCAUUCAAUAUCAGGUUAGCCAGGAGUCAUUGAACAAAGCAAAAUUAGAGUUUAGAGAACCAUGCAAAGAAUUUCUUACCUUCCGUGCCUCUGUGGAGUUUUUCAGAGUCUGUCAGCUGUUUUUGCUCGGAACUCAUCCUGAUGUGCUGACGAAUAUCCAUUGAUCUCGAGAGGAGAUCAAAUUAUGGGCAGGAAUUAGGCAGCUCGCAGAACAGAAAUUCCAUUGAACGACUUCUAACUAUACAUAGGAUAAGCAAAACUGCAAGGGAAAGAGGCUUACCGUUCAAUCUGCACCAGGGCGAUUUAUUUUUAUAUAUGCCAUCUAUAGUGCCUACCUGCACAUACCCUUAGGUGCUUCAAACCAAAAGCAAGCCACUGGUUGUAUGGUUCGUGGAAGGGAUAAGACUGUUGAGAUUAAAUAUAAGUUUGGUUGAUAUUCAUGAAAGCAUUAUGUUUGGUACAUAUAAGUCUUAUUUAGUGGUUACCCAAAUCAAACUAACCUAAAUAAAAUCAUUAGAUUUUUUUUUUUAUACGAUAUCAACUUUUGGCCCUGUUUAUAUAUGGAAUUUUUUUCAAAUACUAUUUGAAUUGAAUUAUAAAUGCAUUUUUUCAACUAAUUUUUUUUAUAUUUCUAAUUAUCUUUUUUUCUUAUAUAUAUAAUAUCACAAAAAAGUGUUACAUAAUUAUUCCAAAUAUUUUUUUUUUCAAAUAAUCUCCAAUCCAAACACAACCGUUGUCUCCCAGGAGUUGGACAUGUUAUUAUGUAAAAAAAAAAAAAAAAAUUCUGAUUUUCUAACCACUUUUCUCAAAAUGUACUAAUUUCCAAAUGUGUAGGUCGAGCCACGGUAUCUACUAGAAAGGAGCCAAGUUUACAGUAGUAUAUAUGUACUAUUGUGUUAUCCAAAAUUGUAAGAUUCUUAAAACAAUCAAACAAAUUUAAAUAUUAGAGUAUUUGAUUUGAUUAGACUCGCUCCUUUCUUAAGAUGACAGUUUAGAUGGCCAACUCAAAUUUCUUGAGGCAAAAAUAUUGGCGUGGCACUUACUCUUGUUCCAUGAUCAAGUAGAAAAAGAAAAAAGAAAUCCGAUCACUCAGAUUUACCGGGUGAAACUAUCCUUGUACCUUUCUAAAACAGUGAUGAAUCAUUUAUGCAUUGUUAGUAUCUCAAAUUUGCACAACUAGGCCUAAGAAAUUUAAUAAGCUUUCGAUUCACUCGUGCAAGUAAUUCUACAAGUCAACAGUCUGUCAAGCACUAAUGCAUUAGCCCCCCGCCACCCCCCCCCCCACCCACAAAUCAAAAACCAAGCCACCUUUUACCCACAACCUACCCUAGGAAACAAAAAACCCAAGAAACUUGCACAAGAGAAACAGUUGCAGUUUGCAUAAACGGGGACCAAAGGUCAAUUGUUCAACUCAGUAAAAGUCGAUAGGCCAACUAAGAUUGGCUUAGUUGUGUUUUUCAACUUAGAUCGGACCGAUCGGUUCAACCGAUUGACCUGAGAACCGAGUAGGCAUUCAAUCCGAAUUGUUCUAAAGAUUCGUCGAACAAACCUUCGGCCAAACUCGAUCAAAAAUCUAGUUUGACUAGAAACCAGAAGAACCGCUUCGAACUGGAUUAUUUUUUCCAUCUUUUCCUUUUUUACAUUUUUGUUUUUCUUUUUUGAUUUUUUCUUUUAACUACUCUCAAAUCUUUUCACAUAUCCUUCCAUAAAUCUCUCUCAAACAACUCCAAUGGAAGAUCUAAGUUCAAAAAGGGAUGAAACAUUAAAAAAAAAAAAAAAGUAAGUAAAAAAUUCACUUAGAAACAUUUUAUCAAUUUUAUGAUUUGACCUCUAGAGUACUAGAAAACUAUUAUUAUACCUAUAAGCAUUUUAGAACUUAUAGCUAUAUCCCUAAAUUCUUGUAUUUCUUUUCAAAUAAGCCCUUCAAUUUGGUUCUAAACUUGUUGAAUAUGCAUUAAAUUGCUACUUAAUUAUACUACCUUAUUUGUAUUUUCUUGUAAAGUAUUUUAGAAACAUCAAACAUACAUUAAACCUACCUUUCUUAGUAUUAAUAUGUUUUUAAAAAUUUUACAUAAUAUAUUGAUUUUUAAAAUUAAAUAUAUUUAUGACAUUAUCUAGUUCUUGGAUCUAACACAUUGACCCCUGACCCCUACCCACGACCAGUCAAUGGUCUGAGUCUCAAAACAGUGGGCUUAGUCGGUAAAGCUCAUUCAAAUUUCUUGAAGCAGGUUUGGAUUUCGAGUUGAGAGUCCAAUUGUUGGCAAUUACCUUUCAAUGAUCGGCGAUCUGUGAGAAUUACACUAAAUUGUUGAAUAAUAUUUGAGUAAUCUACCUCAAUCUUGCUAAUAACCAUUAUAAACUGCUGAAAAAUACUAGAAUGACCUUACGUUGAAGAGGGUCUACUCAAUACUUCAUGUACAUAGAGCGCACAAUGAGAAUAUCGCAAGGAGAACAAGGCAUUACGUGCAGCAAAUGGUUGACAGCGCAAGCGCACCACAAACAUCCGACUGCACAAUCUAUUGUCAAUCGUUCGGUGGUUCGCUCAGAUUAGAUCUCAAGCUACUCUUCCACGCUCAAAAUUUUCCACAUUCCAAAUUUCCACCUUCAGACACCAUAUUAAAUUGAUAGUACAAAAACAUUUAAGUUACUCUAGUGUAAUGCCCAAGCUCGCUGGCAAGGAUAUUCCUAGCAUCUUCAACUAGGCCGCUGUCUCAUGCGAUCGGUAAGGCGUUCUCCUGUUGCUGGACGCAACUGCUACAAAAUGAUUGAAAACUGGCCAGGACAAUGCCCGAUCUGCAUACAAAAUUCGUGUUUGACGAGAUGUCAUGUUACUCACCCCAAACCACUACCCACAUCAAAUCAUAAUCCUAGCUUUUUCCCAAUGAAAAGAUUAAUGGAACAGUCUAAUUUAGGAGUACCACAAACCAUUCUCUCUUGUUUUCACCUUUGCAUCUUUUCCGACAUUAAUUACGUUGACUUCUCCGUGUUUGGAGCAAAUUUUCCAACAUGACUCCAUGUGAUAGUAGAUUCUAGUUUUGCUCUUGCAAGUCAAUAACAUUCUCACAAAUACCAUCCCGACGGUCAAUGGAAAACUUUCAAACCUUGAACCAAUAAUAUAUAACUAUAUAAUCGUGCCCCACCUGUAAGAAUUUAGAAGAGCCUAAGGAAUACUCCAUAAGCUCGCUGAUGCUUAUCUGGUUAUCCCAACUGCAUACAGAAACAGUUCAGCUACAGUGCCCGAUUAGCUGAACAAGGACAACAAUGCAUGGCCAAAUUGUUUCUGCUGCACCGGUUGCCAUGCAAGGGAUGCCAGGUCUAGUAAUUCUGCAUGCCGGAAUGGUUAAGAAGAAAUGGGCACUAAAUUCAGCCUUCAUGACACUUUAUGCCUUCGCAGCAGUCAUGCCCUGCUGGGUACUCUGGGCUUACAACGUGUCCUUUGGCCACUGCCUUAUCCCUCUCUGGGGUAAGGCCGGUCUUGCUGUCUCCUAAGACAUUUUGAUUCCCCAAGCUUUACUGCAGUCAACUCACUACCAAGAUGGUAACAUGAAUCAGCCGCAAUUCAACCAUGGUAUACAACAGCUGCCAUGGUCUUUUUCCAGUAAGCCUUUGCUGCAGUAACUGUCAUCCUUCUAGCUGGGUCGGUGCUUGCUCAAAUAAGCAUUAAAGCUUGGAUGGCCUUUGUGCCAUUGUGGAUCCCGUUUCCCUACAGUGUUGGGGCAUACAGUAUGGGGGCUGGAGGCUUCCUCUUCCAGUGCGGAGUCAUGACUAUUCAGGAGGUUCUGUUGUGCGUCUUGCUUCCAGAGCUGCAAGUUUCACUGCUGCUUACCAGGUAGGUGCCUUUUUCUGUCACACAGCCACUGACAUCCGCGCCUUCUGAACCUCGUCACAAAAUCAUAUUUACUCUGCUGUCUUCUACAGGUUGGAACAAGGUUCCAGGCAGAUUGAGAUGAAUUCCCGCCAAACAAUCUAUUGUUAGCGCUAACUGGAGCAGGCAUACUUUGGAUGGGUAGGACCGGAUUCAACAGAGGUGAUGCAUUUGCUGCUAAUGUUGACUCCUCCCUGGCAGUUCUCCAUACUCAUAUUUGUGCAGCAACUAUUCUCCUAAUGUGGACUUGCUGGGAUGUGAUUUUCUUCAAGAAACCAUCAGUUAUUGGAGCAAUCCAAGGAAUGAUAACGGGGUUGGUUUGUAUAAAUCCUUCCCAAUCACACGUCAGUGAAAGGAUUCUGGUAAGUAAACGGAGCUUCUCUUAAAAAUUGUUCCCACUGGACUUGCAGGCUCAGUUCAAGGAUGGGCAGCACUUGUAAUGGGCAUAGCCUCAGGAGCUAUUCCUUGGUACACCAUGAUGAGUUUGACCAGGAAACUAAAAAUACUACAAAAGAUAGAUGAUCCUCUUGGUGUAUUUCAUACUCAUGCUGUUGCUGGAACCUUAGGUUGGGCACUGACAGGACUAUUUGCCCAUCCAAGCCUUUGUAGCAUGUUCUUAGCAGUUCCUGAUUCCAAGGGGACCUUCUCUGGAAGCAAAGGAGGAAUUCAACUCCUCGAGCAGUUGGUUGGAGCAAGCUUUAUCAUUGGCUGGAAUGUAGUCAUCACCUCUGUCAUUCUAUCCCCUCCGCAUGUCUGAGGAGCAACUGAAGAUUGGAGAUAAUGCAGCCGAUGGAGAAGAAGCUUAUGCUCUUGCUGGACAAGGGCAACAGGAGAAAACCAUACACAAUGGUAGCACACAACAUUAUUUAGAUGGCCAAAUUCCCUGAAUUUUGAGUUUCGUAUGCUCAGAGCUAUCCGUUGUAUGAAGAUGAGGAAAGAACCAUCAUAAUUAGAGUAAGGCUAUUCUUUUCAUGGAUUUGAAAAAAUUAAAAAUUUAUGUGUAGUUGAAACAGCCAAGCAACCAUAUUGAGUUAUUUGACAAAGAGACGGAGUUUGCACUCAAGAAAUAAGAUUUGGCUUAUUAGCUAUUGAAAGAAGUGAGUCAAAUAAGUGCCUGCAUAACCUGAUGUUUGUGCAGCCCAUAUUUCACCCAAUCCAAAUCCAGAUUGCUAUAAAUAGUAAAACUGUUCUGACUUCUGAUUCAUUCUCUAGAAAAGGCAGUUGGGUGCAUUAUGAAGACUACCACAGUAUAUUAAAUCACGGGAUUGAGUAUAUAGUCAAGUACUGCAAUGUUUCCCCUAAAAUACAGGAAGAUAAGGACUUAUCAUGAUAAACAAAAUUAAGAUCACAACAUGCAAUCCAAGUUGGAGACAAAAUUAAACAGUAGAAGCCAUCUAUUAUUAAAGCAUAACACGUAUUCUCUAAUGUGGGAAGAUUUGCAUCCGAAAAAGGCUUAAGUCUAACAAUUAAAAACAAAAAGAAUAGUACCACAUGCAAGUGUGUACAUCACCUUACACAUUGCAAACUCCCCAGUAAUAUACUCCAAACUGGAGAUAGCUACAACUAGUCAAAUUGUUCCCACUCCUGGGUCACCUUAAUGGAACAUGGCACAGGGGUUGGAGCAUUAGGAUCAGCUACUCCAGCAUCAAAUGUCUCCCAGUUAGUUGUUACAGAUACAGCAUUAGUGCAGUCACUGAAGGGGUUGGAGUUUCUUGCCCUGAGGGUGUCCAUUGUUUCCACUAAGCUCUGAACUCUGCAGACCUGCAAAAAGAGUCAUAAACGGAUAUUGUUUCCUCCAAUUUGAUAUCCUAAAACAUUCAAAUAAAUACUCUUGGUAUCCAAGAAAAGCAAAUAAUAGACUAUUGUAAAACACACAUAAAUUUUUUCUUUUCAAGGUAAGCAUAUGCACAUAAGAGUUUACAGCUGGCAUAAACAAUUGUGCUCUAAAUUCACCAUGCUCAAGUGAGUUUAAAGUAAAUUGGAUUUUAUAAUAUGACCAGAAAAAAAUGGGAACCUCUAAUUGUGAAUUCCCAAAUGCUUUGCUUGAUGGUUGAUAUAUGCCAAAAUGUAAAACUUAGAAGCAUCAACAAC